UUUUUUCUCUUUCAUUCUCAAGUUCUUAUGACUCCAGUGUGCUGUGGUUCUGAGUACCUUCUGGACCCUGGACACAGCAAGAAGGUGGCUGUCUACAAGCCAGGAAGAAGGUCCUCAUGAGGAAUCAAAUCUUCUGGCACCUUGAUCUUGGACUUCCCAGCCUCCAGAACUGUGGAUCAGGAAAGGGAAA